UUUGUUCUUCCUUCUCUCUCUCUCGCGAUGUCGUUCUCGUAAUCUCCGAAGGGCAAAGGAGCAGGUCCCGAUCUUUCUCGGUUUCAAACAGCAGACAAAGCUGUGUUGUCUUCCUCUGGAUCUCAGGCUGAUGUCAAAGCAUUGCAGAAGCAUAACAAGCAGAUGACCUGUCCUGCAAUGGCCCAGCUUCUCUCCAACACGCUUUAUUUCAAGCGUUUUUCCCCCUUCUAUGCCUUUAAUGUUCUAGGAGGGCUUGACGAGGAAGGAAAAGGGUGUUUCUUGUUAAAAAAAACCAGGGCUUUGGUGUGUUGCUUGAUGGUCUAUUCGGAACAGGCACAGGUUCAAUUGUUCAGGGCAUUGGUGUGUUGCUUUGUGGUUUCUUUUGAUCAGGCAAAUUCGGAGCUGGGUUUGCAUCGAUACCAGUCCCGAUAUACGCAGCAUUGGACUCUGUCCUCUUCGACCUUGUUGGUAAGACCAUCACAAAACUGAAUCCACAACAAACUUUUCUUUCAACUUCAAGUUUGUUGUACUCAUGAUUCUUUUUUCAUGUUUUGAUUGUAAAUUUCAUGUUUUUACUUGUA